GGUUGGACAAAAGGAAAACGUCUUCUUAAUAUAAAUUGAAUUUAACUUUUAAGUGAAAAGGCUUAAAUAUUUCAGAGGGACGWUAAGACCCUAUAAAGCUUUAUAUAAAAUUGAUUUUAGAUUGAAAUUUUAUUAAAGAAUAAGAUUUAUGUUUAUAUUAUGUUGGGGUAACAAAAGUAUAAUUAUUAGUAACUGCUUAGUUUGUAAACAGGUAUGUUUGUAUUAUUAAGUGAUCCUUAUUUAAAGAUUUUAAGAUUAAGUUACUUUAGGGAUAACAGCGUAAUUUUUUUAGAGAGUUACUAUCGAAAAAAGAGUUUGCGACCUCGAUGUUGAAUUAAAAUUUCUAUAUAGUGCAGCUAUUAUAUAAGGAGGUCUGUUCGACCUUUAAUUUUUUACAUGAUUUGAGUUCAGACCGGCGUGAGCC
rnacentral:rRNA from 1 species